rnacentral:misc_RNA from 1 species
GAUGAAGAACGCAGCGAAAUGCGAUAAGUAAUGUGAAUUGCAGAAUUCAGUGAAUCAUCGAAUCUUUGAACGCACAUUGCGCCCGCCAGUAUUCUGGCGGGCAUGCCUGUUCGAGCGUCAUUUCAACCCUCAAGCACAGCUUGGUGUUGGGACUCGCGUUAAUUCGCGUUCCCCAAAUUGAUUGGCGGUCACGUCGAGCUUCCAUAGCGUAGUAGUAAAACCCUCGUUACUGGUAAUCGUCGCGGCCACGCCGUUAAACCCCAACUUCUGAAUGUUGACCUCGGAUCAGGUAGGAAUACCCGCUGAACUUAAGCAUAUCAAUAAGCGGAGGA